GACGAACGCUGGCGGCGUGCUUAACACAUGCCAGUCGAACGGAAAGGCCCUGCUUUUGUGGGGUGCUCGAGUGGCGAACGGGUGAGUAACACGUGAGUAACCUGCCCUUGACUUUGGGAUAACUUCAGGAAACUGGGGCUAAUACCGGAUAGGAGCUCCUGCUGCAUGGUGGGGGUUGGAAAGUUUCGGCGGUUGGGGCUGGACUCGCGGCUUAUCAGCUUGUUGGUGGGGUAGUGGCUUACCAAGGCUUUGACGGGUAGCCGGCCUGAGAGGGUGACCGGCCACAGUGGGACUGAGAUACGGCCCAGACUCCUACGGGAGGCAGCAGUGGGGAAUAUUGCACAAUGGGCGGAAGCCUGAUGCAGCAACGCCGCGUGCGGGAUGACGGCCUUCGGGUUGUAAACCGCUUUCGCCUGUGACGAAGCGUGAGUGACGGUAAUGGGUAAAGAAGCACCGGCUAACUACGUG
rnacentral:rRNA from 1 species